rnacentral:rRNA from 1 species
UACGAAGGGGGCUAGCGUUGCUCGGAAUCACUGGGCGUAAAGCGCUCGUAGGCGGACUCUUAAGUCAGGGGUGAAAUCCUGGAGCUCAACUCCAGAACUGCCUUUGAUACUGGGAGCCUUGAGUUCGGGAGAGGUGAGUGGAACUGCGAGUGUAGAGGUGAAAUUCGUAGAUAUUCGCAAGAACACCAGUGGCGAAGGCGGCUCACUGGCCCGAUACUGACGCUGAGGUGCGAAAGCGUGGGGAGCAAACAGG